GAUCGAACGCCUAGCCGAGUAGGCUUAACACAUGCAAGUCGAGGGGUACAUGGGAGUAGGCUUGCUACGUUCUGAUGACGACCGGCGGGUGGGUGAGUAACGCGUAUGCAACUUGCCUCUUAGUGGGGAAUAACCCGGAGAAAUCCGGACUAAUACCGCAUACACUUAGUUAUCCGCAUGGAUGAUUAAGGAAAGAUUUAUUGCUAAGAGAUAGGCAUGCGUUCCAUUAGUUGGUUGGUGAGGUAACGGCUCACCAAGGCAUCGAUGGAUAGGGGAGCCGAGAGGCUUAUCCCCCACAUUGGGACUGAGACACGGCCCAA
rnacentral:rRNA from 1 species